GUAUCUGAGAGAGGGAGAGAAACAGGGUGUAAGGGAGAGAGGGCCAUUUGGGAAACAAGGCAGGCUUCCCUGCCAAUCAUUCACCUGUUUAUUCAUUCAUUCAUUCAGCAAUUGCUUAGAGUAUCUACUAUGUGCCAGGUACUGUGACAUGGACCUGGGGGUGAACAAGAGAGACAAGAUCCUUAUGUGCAGGGAGCCAACAUCCUAACAAGACUGUAAACAAUUAAGUGAAUACAUAAAAAUAUCAUGUCUUUGUUGGUUCUACAAAGAGACUAGAGAGAGGUGCUGCAUCAGGUGGUGGGAGUGUGGUCAGGAAAGGCCUCUCUGAGGAGCUAACAUUUAAGCUGAGAGCUGAAUGUAAAGGAGCCAGCCAUGUAAAACACCUGGGGACAAGUGUGUGUGGUAGAGGAAACAGCAAGUACAGAGGCCUUGAAGUAGCAGGAAGGAGUUUGGCCUGAUCUAGGAAUUGUCAAAGGGUCAGCAGGACUGGACACCACAAGAGGAGGGUAAGGCAGGCAGGGGCCAGAUCAUGCAGCGUCUGACGGGCCAUGGGGAGGAAUAUGGGUUUAUCCCAUUCAGUGAGGCGCCAUGAGGAGUUUUAAGCAAAAGAGUAACAGAAUCUCAUUUAUGAUGAUAACAACAAAUAACAAACUCACCUAUUCAUGUAGAUUUAUAAUUUACAAAGCACUUCUACAUAUUUACCUCACAUAAGCCCCAUGAACCCUGUGAACUUUGUAUUCUUAUCCCCAUUGUACAGAUGCAGGAACUGAGGCUGAGAUAAUUACAUGGACUGCUCUCAUUUGCUCAGCUGGGAUUAAAAGCCACUCUUCUUGCUUUUGUCUAUUUUCCAGUAGCCAUAGCAUCUCAGAGGAGGACCAUGAGCUCUGAAGCUCAGCCCCUUAAAGCUGUGAAGCCACUUUGGAACUGUGCUGGCUCCUCUCAGAGCUUGGAGAAACUCUUUUAAGUACUUCACACCCUAGCAGCUGCCCUCUGGAACCAGGUUGGCCUGGAUCCUACUCAGUCUUCGGCAUGCAGGCCAGAGCCUCUGUCCCUCCAAUCAAUAAGAUGCUUUCCACAGUGGUUAAGUGUUUAGUCUCCUCUUUAUUGAGAUAAUUGAAAGGCCUUAUUAAGCAAAGAGCUGUGAUUACUCCUUCGGCUAAAGCCAGAAACACCAUCUCCCCUGCCUCUGUGCCCUCUGGGUGUCUGGAGCAGAAACAAGCUUAGGAUGACCAGGAAUUGUUUCUGCUAAAAUAGACUCAAAGUCAUCUGUCCUGAGGAAACCACGGGGCUUGGGUUUCCAGAGAAGAUGUGGAAGGGGAUGGGGCAAGCUAUUUCAGAAGUAUGAACACCCAAGAACUUGGUGGAGGACAUGGCAGAGGUAGACAGGUAUUCGGUGAAUGAAUGAAUGAAUGAUCUCACUUAAGCCUCUCAAUUCCCUGUGAAGUAGGCUCCUGUUUUGAGACUGUCUUCCUUCUCCUUCAGUGUUCAUGCCCUUUGCCCUGGCUCAAGAUUUCCUGGACGUGCACUAGCAUUAAGGCCUGUGCUAGAGCCUUCUAGAUCUUUGCAGCUAGGGUUGUCUCCUCUGCCGUGGUACUCAGGAGAGGCCUCCAGGGAAGUGGUUGAGAACAUGGAUUCUGAAUUUAGAUAAUGUGGGUUCAAGACUCACCCUGCUCCAUAAAAUAACCAUAUGAUCUUGGGGGAAUGUUACUCUGGGCCUUAGUUUCGUUGUCUGUAAAAUGAAGAUAAUAACAGUAACCUAGAUCAUAAUCCUAUUGUGACAUAUACAGCUCCACAAACAAUAGAUACUAUUACUUUUAGCUAGGCAUUCUGAAAACCACAGUCUCUGUUGAUGGGAAACUCUAAAAACACAGUUGGUUGUCCCAAGUUCAAAUAGCCCCAUUGAUGAAGAAAAAGGGGCUGCCUCUGAGAUAUAUCACCUUAGCUGGGAUUUUCAGAUGACACAACUGAAAGGGGGCCUGUGGGCACAGGGCUGUGGAUGAAAAUAAAGCAUGGCAGGAGUGCAGAAGAACAAUGCCAGGAAGGCUGCAUUUCAGAGUGACCAAGGCUGAUGAGGAAUGCUAAGGACAACAGAAAGAUUGCUUCAUCCAUAUGAAGAAAGAGGGAGAAGGGAAGCCAUGCCUCCUGCUGGGGCAGAUGGUCUGCUAGUGACAGAUGACAGUGAGAAAGCCGAACAAUCCACUCCCAGGCGUCCUCUGCCUUCUCCACCGGGAAUAAGGAGCUGCAUCUUGGAGAGGCUGGAACAAAUGCCAAAAAGAAGGAUCCAGAGCUUAAAGUAGGAGACGGGAGAGCAGGCAAGUGUCCAGCUGAAUUCAGUAAAUUUACAUCACAGGCCCACAUGAAUCCCACCCGGGAGACAGGAGGAAUGUGCAGAUGGGGUUGCAGAACCACUGCCCUGGAUCUUUGAGAAAUCAUGGUGCAGCAGAAAAUUACCAAGAGACUAGAGAUGGAAAACGGCUGUAUUGAAUUUUUAAAGAAGGCAAAAGGAGGUCUGAGAAACCACAGACCAAUAGGCUUGGUAUCUGUAAAUUGUGCCAUCAAAUUGCUGGCAGAAUUUGAGAGCAGAUUAUUAAGUAGACAGCUUGUGAAUACUUGGAAAAUAAGCUGUAUUGGUUCACUAGGCACACAUCUUGCCAAAUUAACCUUAUUUCUUGUUUUGACAGUGAGGUUAACUGGUUGGUAGAUCAGGAGACUGCUCCAGACCUAUUGCAUCAUGAUUUUAACAAGAUGUGUUCUUGUCCCAGUUCUUUAUACCCUUGACAAGCUGGAGGAGUGUGGUGUGGAUAGCAGUGUGGUUAGCAGGGUUUGCACAACCAUCUCCAGUCUUCUGGCACUUCUCAAAGAUUACCAACUAUGGUCCUAUGCCAGCAAAGGAAGUUCAUGGUUUUCAUGUUAAAAUGUCUCCUUUAAUGAAAAAGUAAAUAAGUAAAUGAAAUAAAGAAUGGAUCUCAAGUUAGGUCUCCAGUGGUAUGUUCCGGAAUUUUUCAACAACUUAUAAAAGCCAGAGGGAGGCAGCAUGGCCUAAUAAUUAAGAGAGGACACUGGAGUCCAACCUGGGUUUGAACCCUAGCUUACAUUAGUUACCAACUAGUUAAGUGACCCUGGGGCAUUUAUUUAACCUGAGCCUCUAUCACUUAUAAAAUGGGUUUUAUAUCCCCAGGGUUGUUGCGAUAAUUAAUGAGAUAAUUCAAAAGAAACACUUAAUUCAGUGUUUGAAUAACUGUAAAUUGUCUAGAAUUAGCCAGUGUAGUGGGCACCUAUUUUGUCUGCUGACACCCCAAUAGGAACUGUGUCCCUCUUUCCCAUGAUGAUGUAAACUGUCCAGAUAAGCUGCCAUAUUUCCCAUGCCCCAAUGCCCACUUGCCACAGCUGGUGAGUUCAAAAUAGGGCAUCUCACCCAAGCUGAACCAAUGACUUCCUUUCCUGGAUUUAUUUUUUAAAAGCUUUACUGAGACACAAUUUACAUACCAUAAAAUCCAACCAUUUAAAUUAUGCAUUUCAAUGGUUUUUAAUGUAUUUAGAGAGUUGCGCUCACAUCACCGCAGUUUAAUUUUAGAGCACUUCAUAACCCCUAAAAGAAAUGUGUACCCAUUAGCAGUCAGUGAUCAUUCCACACCCCACCUCUCAGACUUAGGCAACCACGAAUCUACUUUCCGUCUCUAUAGAUGUCCCCGUUUUGGACAAUUCAUGUGAAUGGAACCAUAUAUGUGGCUUCUCAUGUCUGACUUCUUUCACUGACUGUGUUUUCAAGGUUCACCCAUGUUGUAGAAUGUAUCAGUACUCCAUUCCUUUUUAUGGCUGAAUAACAUUCCACUGUCUGGGUAGACCACAUUUUGUUAAUUCACUCAUCAGUUGAUGACAUUUGGGUUGUUCCCACAUUUGAGUUAUUCUGAAUAAUGCUGCUAUGAACAUUUGUGUACAAGUUUUUGUGUGGACACGUUUUCAUUUCUCUAGGAGUCAUACGGUAACUAUGUUGAAUAGUUUGAGGAACUGCCAAAAUGUUUUCCAGAGUGGCGGUGCCAUUUUACAUUCCCACCAGCAAUGAAUGAGGGGUCCAAUUUCUCCUUAUCUGAGACAACACUUGUUAUUGUCCGUCUUUUUAUAGCUAUCCUGGUGGGUGUUAUCUCAUUGUGGUUUUGAUUUGGAUUUUUCUGAUGGCUGAUGAUGUUGAACAUCUUUUCCCCUUCCUUGGACUUUUACGUUAGGGACCAGAUCAGUCUCUUUCAAAGAAGCCGAUGCUGCAACAAGCAAAGCUCUGGAGCUGUUGGCAGCCAUGCUGUCUGCCAUGGGGAAAAGCGGGAUUGCAGUCGGGGAGGAAGAAGGCUGGCACUAGCAGGAGAUGCGUGAUGGAAAAGACAGUGAUGGAGCUGGAGUUCCUGUUCUAAUUCUUACCGAGGACCAGCUGUACCCCCGACUUUCCUGUCGCUUAGCUGUUCCAUCCUUCCUUUGACUCUGCUCACUAACAAAUUACUGUUUUCGUUUAACCUUUUUUCAUUUAGAUCCUGUGGUAGCGAUGGUGAUGAGGCUGCUACUGGUGAUUGUUUGAAAGUGCCAAGAGAUAAGUGCAAGCCAAGCUCCCCCAUCCAGUUUUGCCUGCCUCUCAGGUGGGGGCACGGCUGCCUGUGUGGUGGGGAGUCCAUUCUUUACUGGAGACCAGGGCACUGGCCGGUUAGGGCCCAGCUGCUGGGAGCUCAACCAGGGAGACACAUCCUCAAUGAGUUUCUGCAAGGAUGAUGUCUCAGCCUCACUGCCACACCCACUGCUGCACCUAUCUUCUCCACUGGGAUGCCCCUGAACUUGGCUUCCUAGAGCCUCAGUGUUGGGGAUGGGGAUGGGGCACAGAAGCUGUCCUGUUGGGUGGGACCAGGGUGAGGAGAGUUCUUAGAGCAGACUGGGCCACCAUAGUGUGUUCCAGGGACUCAGACCUCUGUGGCUUCCUCCUUGUCCGGGGGCAAAAGACAACAGUAGACCAUCAUGGAAGACACCAAAAAUACCAGCCAGGGCUGAGUUCAUCCUGUGACAAACACCUGUGCAGCCUCUUUUCAUGUCCAAAUCCCCUCCCAUGAGUAGACACUAUUAUUAUCCCCAUUUUGCAGAUGAGGAAACUGAGGCACAGAGUGGUAAGUAAUACGCCCAAGGUCACUUGGCUAGCCAGCUGCAGAACUGGGGCACAGACCAGGUCCCUUUGAUUCCAAAGUCAAAGCAUAGCUCCUAGUUAUCUGGCCCAAAGCUAUGGUUUCUGGGGAGCCAACAUGGAAGGCAGCAGUCCUGGUAGAGAGCAAGGGAGGAGAACACUUCAGAGGCGACCAGAUCUAGGGCAUCAGCCUAGCCACAAUUCUACAAAAACACUUUAGCCCUAUGUUGUCAAGUCUCAAGGUGGGAGACUUGGGAAAUGAAAUGAAACCCCAUAUCACCUCUCCUUUCUACCACAUGCACCCCCUACCCCCAACACACACUUCUGCUCGUGUCUCUGCAGCUGGGCACUCUCCUUGGCUCACCUGCAAAGUGAGCCCCAGCAGUGAGCCAGGAACCAAAAAGAUAGGAUGGCUUUUAGGAAUCUUGAAGUUCCUCUGAAGACACCACCUAGGGGUGGACCCAGACGGGACAGAUGAGGCUCAGAGCAAGGUAAUCUAAUAAUAAUCACAGUGGCAAUUCAGUAAUAAUUUAUUUUUAUUUAGCAUAAGUAUGGGCCAUUUAAUUAUCAUAAACUUACAAGGUACUAUUAGCCCCAUUUUUGAGAUUAGGAAACUGAAGCUCAGAGAAGUUAAGUAACGUGCUCAAGAUCAUCGGCUCAUUCAAGCCAGUGCUCCACAUCAGGCUUGUCUGACUUCAGAGCGUUCUGCUUUCUCGCUGGAGGAGGAGAGGAAUGAGCUGAAGACCUGGCUAAUCCACAUGAGAAAGAACAGCCUCUUUGUGACAGAACGAUUUAUAAUCCUUUGGGUAUUUAUCCAGUAAUGGGAUUACUGGGUCGAAUGGUAUUUCUGUUUUUAGGUCUUUGAGGAAUUGCCACACUGUCUUCCACAAUGGUUGAACUAAUUUACACUCCCACCAACAGUGUAUAAGUGUUCCUUUUUCUCCACAACCUCACCAGCAUCUAUUAUUUUCUGACUUUUUAAUAAUAGCCAUUCUAACUGGUGUGAGCUGGUAUCUCACUGAGAUUUUGAUUUAUAUUUCUCAAAUGAUCAAUGAUGUUGAACUUUUUUUCCUAUGAUUGUUGGCCGCAUGUAUUUCUUUUGAAAAGUGUCUGUUCAUGUCCUUUGCCCACUUUUUAAUGGGGUUAUUCGCUUUUUUGCUUGUUGACUUGUUUAAGUUCCUUAUAGAUGCUAGAUAUUAAACCUUUGUCGGAUUGCA